CGACCAGAGGGAAAAGGAGCAAUCCGCUUUGAGAUGGCCUCGCGUCCGAUUAGCUAGUUGGUGAGGUAACGGCCCACCAAGGCAACGAUCGGUAGCCGGACUGAGAGGUUGAACGGCCACAUUGGGACUGAGACACGGCCCAGACUCCUACGGGAGGCAGCAUG
rnacentral:rRNA from 1 species